rnacentral:lncRNA from 1 species
CAGCUGCUCCUGCAUCAUGCUGUAGCUGCCGUUGCUCCAGCCGUUCAUGUGCGCGUAGCUGUCCAUGCGCUGGUUCACGCCCGCACCCAGGCCGGCGCCCACCCCAACCCCGCUCGCCAUGCUGUUCCCGCCGGGGGCCAGCAAGCCUCCGGGAAGCGUGUACUUAUCCUUCUUCAUGAGCGUCUUGGUUUUCCGCCGCGGCCGGUAUUUAUAAUCCGGGUGCUCCUUCAUGUGCAGAGCGCGCAGCCGCUUGGCCUCGUCGAUGAACGGCCGCUUCUCGGUCUCCGACAAAAGUUUCCACUCGGCGCCCAGGCGCUUGCUGAUCUCCGAGUUGUGCAUCUUGGGGUUCUCCUGGGCCAUCUUACGCCGCUGCCCCCGGGACCACACCAUGAAGGCAUUCAUGGGCCUCUUGACGCGGUCCGGGCUGUUCUUCUGGUUGCCGCCGGUCGCCGCCGCCGUGGCGUUGCCUCCUCCGCCGCCGCCCCCCGAAGCUUGCUGAGGGCCCGGCGGCUUCAGCUCCGUCUCCAUCAUGUUAUACAUGCGGGCGCUGGGCGCGGGCGCGGCCCGCCGGCGGCCGC